rnacentral:rRNA from 1 species
CAUAAGCGGAGGAAAAGAAACCAACAGGGAUUGCCCUAGUAACGGCGAGUGAAGCGGCAACAGCUCAAAUUUGAAAUCUGGCGCAAGCCCGAGUUGUAAUUUGUAGAGGAUGCUUCUGGCCAGCGGCCGUUCUAAGUUCCUUGGAACAGGACGUCAUAGAGGGUGAGAAUCCCGUAUGUGACCGGCGCGCAGCCUUUACGUAGCUCCUUCGACGAGUCGAGUUGUUUGGGAAUGCAGCUCUAAAUGGGAGGUAAAUUUCUUCUAAAGCUAAAUACCGGCCAGAGACCGAUAGCGCACAAGUAGAGUGAUCGAAAGAUGAAAAGCACUUUGGAAAGAGAGUUAAAAAGCACGUGAAAUUGUUGAAAGGGAAGCGCUUGCAACCAGACUUCGUAGCGGUGUUCCGCCGGUCUUCUGACCGGUCCACUCAUCGUCGCGAGGCCAACAUCGUCUGGGACCGCUGGAUAAGACCUAAGGAAUGUAGCUUCCCUCGGGAAGUGUUAUAGCCUGUGGUGAUGCAGCGCGUCUCGGGCGAGGUCCGCGCUUCGGCAAGGAUGUUGGCGUAAUGGUUGUCAGCGGCCCGUCUUGAAACACGGACCAAGGAGUCUAACAUCUAUGCGAGUGUUCGGGUGUCAAACCCCUACGCGUAAUGAAAGUGAACGGAGGUGGGAAGCGCAAGCUGCACCAUCGACCGAUCCUGAUGUCCUCGGAUGGAUUUGAGUAAGAGCAUAGCUGUUGGGACCCGAAAGAUGGUGAACUAUGCCUGAAUAGGGUGAAGCCAGAGGAAACUCUGGUGGAGGCUCGCAGCGGUUCUGACGUGCAAAUCGAUCGUCAAAUUUGGGUAUAGGUGCGAAAGACUAAUC